CCUACGGGGGGCAGCAGUGAGGAAUAUUGGUCAAUGGGCGCGAGCCUGAACCAGCCAAGUCGCGUGAGGGAGGACGGCCCUACGGGUUGUAAACCUCUUUUGCCGGGGAGCAACGUGCGUCACGUGUGGCGCCACUGAGAGUACCCGGAGUAAAAGCAUGGGCUAACUCCGUGCCAGCAGCCGCGGUCAUACGGGGGAGGCGAGCGUUAUGCGGAUUUAUGGGGUUUAAAGGGUGCGUAGGCGGAGCGUUAAGUCAGUGGUCAAAUUGAGGGUCUCAACCCCUUCCCGCCAUUGAAACUGGCGCUCUUGAGUGGAAGAGACGUAUGCGGAAUGCGUGGUGUAGCGGUGAAAUGCAUAGAUAUCACGCAGAACCCCGAUUGCGAAGGCAGCAUGCCGGCUUCCGACUGACGCUGAAGCACGAAAGCGUGGGGAUCGAACAGGAUUAGAUACCCCUGUAGUC
rnacentral:rRNA from 1 species